GGCAGUACUACAGGCUACCUGAAGGUACAUCACAGCUGAAGAAGAUAAGUAAAGUUGGAGAGAGGACAACUAUCUCAAUUCAAAGAAAGGAAUCUAGAUGAGAUCCAGAUUGAUUCACAAGGUUGCUGUGUUUACUAGAGAGAGUACUGAUGGACAGUGAAGGAUCAGACUCUGAAAACGAGAAAGAAAACAAUGCUUCACCUCCACCAUCAAAUUCUGCAGACAAAUCAAAGACAACUGCUGAAGUUAGACAACACAAAAGUCAUCAACCAUCUAAAGGAUCUUCAAAAAACCCAUGGAGAUAGUGGUCUACAGAGGAGAUCCAGGCUGUGAAAAAGACUCUGAUGGACUACAUCAGUUCUGGCAAGGUUCCUGGUAAAGCCCAGUGCAUGAAGUGCAUUGUAAUUUUCCCAGCAGCACUUGGGAGAGGUUGGGAGGCAGUCAAAUGUUAUGUUAAAAAUCUUAUUGAUUCCAUGUGUUUUAUUUGUUCUAUGUAUUUGUGUUUGUUAAAUGGCAACAGGUUCAAAAACAUUUUAGUUCAAGUUGCUGACAAAUAAAU